CGAAUUAAACCAGGAGCCUGGAGACGAAUUUUUGAAUGAAACCAAUUGGGGGGUACUUAGCUUGUUCCAUGGUGGUACCUAGAGAGGCAAUUGCUAAGUCGUGGCACUCUCAUACCUUUACUAGAUGCGAACAAUUCCGGAGAAGAAGAAGAAGUGGAAUCGGAUGAGAAGAUUAUUUAUAUUGUUGGAAUUCUUAUAUUGAUGGAGUUGAAGAAGUACAGGGACAAAUAAGCCAAGGCAAGCCAUCUUUUGACCUC